UUGGUCAAACAGGAGCAGCUGGAGGGACCAGCACAUCCGUGAAGUUUAAAGUCAUAAAAAGGAGAAGUAGCAGGGAACACAGCUGCUGGGUCAAAAGGGAAAUUUUCACGAAGCCGGCAGGAGGAGAAGGGGGUUGUUGUUUCAAUCCCGCGUCAUCAGGUUGGAGCGGUCCCAGCCCCUGGCCGAGCAGGCAGCCAGCUUCCCUGCAGACCAGGAUGGGAUGAUGGGAUGGCCAUGCUGGGCUCCCCCUGCAUGUGGAAAACAAAGGCCCCGGCCCUUCCUUCGCAGCAGGAGCUGAUCCACCAGCAACAGCACCAAGCUCGUGCAAGCCGUGGUUAUUCCUCUGUGCAGAGCAGGUAGCUUCUCACUACCCAGCCCCAGAUACUGUUGUGAAGAGAUGAUUUUCACAGGUUCUGGUUUUACUGACAACCACGGGGAGUAGCAGCAAGGCCAGUGCCUCUGUAAUACGAGACCUUAAUCCUCAUGUUAAUGCUACUGCAUUUCCAUCACAAACUGGAGCGGGUGCCAGGCCAAAGGGAAGAGACAGAAGGGGCUGAUUUCUGUCCUGCAGUUUCUAGACAUCUCACUAAGAGCAGAGCUCCAAUUUUCAGAAAUGCUUAGAUUUUAGCUGAAAUUGCAAUCUAAAAAAAAAAAGAUAAAAAAAUGCAGCUUUAACAGAGCUUGUCUGAAUUAUUUUUUCCCUGUAAUUUUUGUGUUGGUGACAACUGCUGCCUGCAAUGCUGCCUUCCAAAGGAGAGCUAAAACGUGACAGCCUGACCGGUUAGUUAUUCAGCGUGUGCAGGAAUCAAAGUUUUGGUGCCUGUAAAAAUCACGUUGGUUUAAAACACAAGAGAUUAAAGCAUCACUCCAGUCUCCCCCACUACAGACUCCUUUUCUGCUCACGUACUUCACACCUCUGAGCGGGGGGGGGGAUCAUCCCCGAUAUGCACAUUAGGGCAUGGGACUGGCAGGACACCCCGGGCCCCGGCUGCCACAAACCCACCACCCCACACAGUGGCAUGAGAAAUUACUUCUAUACUUGCUGCAGAGCUUUAGGAAUGAGGUUCCCCGCACCUCCCCCAAAAGACCCAAGCAUUCAAAGCGGGGGUAAAUCCAUGUCAUGUUUUUGGGUCCAUACAAACAGGAAGGGUCUUAUAAAAGGACUCUUUACAAAGCCAAAAAUUUCACUUUGUUUUGAAAGUUUAUUGGAUCAUCUUGACACAAAAUCAUUACAGCAGCUUGUGGUAUGUUGUUUUCUUUUUCUCUCUUUUUUUUUUUUUUUUUUUUCCCCAAGGGAAUGUUGAUAGCAAAUAAAUUUGUGAAUGUAACACAUCAUACAGUUUCAAAAUUCUAGAAUCACUGCACAGGAUUCUGUAAGAGAAGACUCUACAUGCUAAAGUGACAGUUUUCAUCCAUGAAUUAAAAAAACACUAAUUGAGGAACAUUAUCCUUUAAGACAAUUUUAAUAUGUUCAGUUUCUAAUACACAAACUGGCUAACCAAGGGAGGUUGACCAAUACCAAAAACUACCACUUCACCAGCAGCAAAGCCUGCUGCACAUGAAUUCCUGCAGCGCACAAGUGCGGUCAGAAUACGAAGCUGGUCCUAGCAAUAAAACCAGAGCAGAGCCUUUACAAAAAUGGGAAGAGUGUAAAGAGCGUAAGACGCGCUUAAAGUACAGAACAUUCACCCAAAGGAUAAAAAUCACCAUUUUAUCCUGUUCCCUGCGUAGGUUUUUAGCUCAACUUCAGUGGGCACUGCUGACACUGUUGGAGUGGUGGCGGGGCUGGGGAAGUGGAGAGCAACCCAUCUCCUCCCUGGGGAGCCUCUUGGUAACAGCCAUCAACAGCUCUUGACCUGUGCCUCAACGCAAAACCGUUCAGGUGUGUUCUGAGUUUGCUGGGUACAGAACAGCAAGUAGAAGAAAUGGGGAGGGGAAGGGGGGCAGGGGGAAAAAAAAUCAAAAGAGAUUUUGGAGAAGGACAUCAAUUGAGCAUCUCUGUAAAGGACACAGCGACAUCCCCUUCCAGACAGUGAUUCCACCGGAUUUCAACAGUGCGGAAUGGGCUUCACUUGGUAGACCCUCCCUUUCUUCCCUCUAAAGCAACCUGCUACAGACACAAGUCUGCAGCUCCUCCCCCAGCCCUCCCUCCUGCCACCCAGGCAGGGCGAGUUCUGCUGCAGGGACCCAGGUACACGGGGCGAGGGCAAGGCCAUGGGAUGCUACGGGGACAACUGACACGGCACAACAGCUCUGAGUUCACAGCGCAGCAGGAGGAAACUGGGCUGUAUCUGCAAACUGUUCGGCGUACAAGGGACUACACACAUGGGCGUUUCUCUAACCUGGUAGUGGUCAACCUCAGCUGGUGAGCAAAAUGAUAAAAAAAAAACAAAGCAGGAACAGACCCCUUUGGAUUUCCAGUUUCUUGCUACACCCUAACUUUUCAGGAAUGUGAAAUUGAAGUGGACUCAUAAAACACAUCAGCAGAGAUUGCUCAAAGGGGAGAGGCAUGACAGACUCCAUUUGCAGGGGUGGUCGACAGGAGCAGGGAACCAAACAGUAACACUUUCAGCCUGUUUCAUGCAUUCACUCUCUACUCCUUCAGCUGUCACUAAAAGAAGGUUAAGGCUCAAGGCAACUACUAUAAACAGAAACUCCAACAUCCCAGUUCUCACAGGGCUCAUUUGGAUUAGCUCAAGGAGAUGGAGGAUGUUUAUAUGCUGAUCAAAAUAGAUCUUGAGAUAAUAAUAAUAAUAAAUCAUAUUAAAAAAAAAAAAAAAAAAAAA